ACGGCCAUAACCAUGCUGAAUAUACCGGUUCUCGCUGAAUUCACCGAAGUUAAGCAUCAUUGGGCGCGGUCAGUACUUGGGUGGGUGACCACCUGGGAACACCGCGUGCCGUU
rnacentral:rRNA from 1 species